UCAACCAUAGUAAAUAACCUUCCACUACCAUCUUCACCCUGCACACCUGAAUGCUUAUCUUCAGACGCCUUCUCUGCUGAACAUUUGUCCCCAAUUUGAUUCAUCUUAUUCCACUGAAAUCAUAGCAAAAGAAAGAAAAUUAUAAGAACUGAACAAAAUGUUCUGUGGGUUCAGUGUUCACUUUCUCUCUCAGAACAAAGUUUCAGAUCUAAUUUUUAUUUUGCCUGAGUUAUUGUCAGAGCAGCAACAGUGAGCAAUCUUUCACUCCUGUCAGCGCAGCGGUGGUUAAUAUUGUUGUAUGUUCAUUUUCUUAUUUUUUUGCCAGAGUUCCAUUGACCCAUAUGGAUCUAUCCGCCAUUGUUCACAAGUUCCAUUGACCCAUAUGGAUCUAUCCGCCAUUGUUCACAAGGUAGCUAUGAUGGAUCUGAAUCGCUCGCUCCGUCGAAACCCCUAGCUCUUCAUGCUAUCUUCCCGACGAUCUAUGUCCCUCUCUAUCUUCGAUUUGGGACUCAUAUGGUUGAAGACAAGACAAGCUUCGAAGAAGACCAGCUCGCCUCCAUGUCCACCGAAGAUAUCACCUGAGUUACUCGACAACAAGAUUCAAAUUCUCAAGGUCGGAACCACAAUUCUCUCCGACGUCGGCCUCGGCUCUCUGAUCGGCUCUACUUUUUUUUUUCCUUAUCCGGCAUCGAGUCGUCAAGCCGCUGGAUCAUCGAGUUACUGUAGACGAUUGCAAAAACGUACUUGAUAGGGAUUAUCAGCCGAAGCGACCUUGACGACGAUGCUUAGUUAACUCUGCUUUGAUGUUAGAGAUUUAAAAAAAGGUUAGAUUUCUUCUUCUUCUCAUUCGAUCUUAAGAGUCUCUGAAUUGCGAUUUGUCGUCUCGCUUCAAGGUGAUGAGCUCUACCUCUUCCUCCCAGGUAAACCACUCUUAUCUCUUGUCCUGUCCAUCAUCAGGUUUUUGUCUCCUUCUUACAGGAUUUAGUUCUAGUUCAGUUUGGUCUCGUUUUUGUUAUUUGAAUGCAGCUUUUGGUUUUGAUUUGGAUUUAAGGUUCCUUUUUGAUUAAUCUCGUACUAUAGAUGAGUUGAUCAGGUGUUACUGAUAGGUCUUUGAAGUAAAAUAAGCUUGAAUCGAGCCUAAUUAUGAUGAUUCUUUCUUUUGUACAAAGUUACUGAAUCUGCUGUGAAUGUUUUAUGGCAG